AAGAGCCUACGGGGCGCAGCAGUGGGGAAUAUUGGGCAAUGGGCGCAAGCCUGACCCAGCAACGCCGCGUGAAGGAAGAAGGCUUUCGGGUUGUAAACUUCUUUUCUGAGGGACGAAGAAAGUGACGGUACCUCAGGAAUAAGCCACGGCUAACUACGUGCCAGCAGCCGCGGUAAUACGUAGGUGGCAAGCGUUAUCCGGAUUUAUUGGGUGUAAAGGGCGUGUAGGCGGGAAUGCAAGUCAGAUGUGAAAACUAUGGG
rnacentral:rRNA from 1 species